GGAGAAUUAGCUCAGCUGGGAGAGCAUCUGCCUUACAAGCAGAGGGUCGGCGGUUCGAACCCGUCACCUGUUCCCA
rnacentral:tRNA from 1 species